rnacentral:rRNA from 1 species
CCUACGGGUGGCAGCAGUGGGGAAUAUUGCACAAUGGUCGAAACCCUGAUGCAGCGACGCCGCGUGAGCGAUGAAGUAUUUCGGUAUGUAAAGCCCUAUUAGCAGGGAAGAAAAUGACGGUACCUGACUAAGAAGCCCCGGCUAAAUACGUGCCAGCAGCCGCGGGAAGACGUAGGGGGCAAGCGUUAUCCGGAUUUAGUGGGUGUAAAGGGGGCGUAGACGGCGGUGCAAGCCAGAUGUGAAAGCCCGGGGCUCAACCCCGGGACUGCAUUUGGAACUGUGCUGCUAGAGUGGGGGAGAGGCAGGCGGAAUGCCCGGUGUAGCGGUGAAAUGCGUAGAUAUUAGGAGGAACACCAGUGGCGAAGGCGGCCUGCUGGACGAUGACUGACGUUGAGGCUCGAAAGCGUGGGGAGCGAACAGGAUUAGAUACCCGUGUAGUC